UAGGUGGGGAAAUCAGGCAAGGCUUCUCAGUGGAGGUGACUUUUAAAGCUAAGAACUAAGGAAUGAGAAGGAGCCAGCCAUAUGUCAAGCAAGGGGUAAGUGUCUAGAAUGUUCCAGAAAGAAGGAACAGCAGGUGUAAAGGCCACAAUGUAGGAAUGAGCUUCGUGCAUUAG